CUCACACUCGGUGUAGAUAUAAAGAUUGAUUAGCCCCCAUGUUUGCAUGUUGCUUUCACACAAAUGGUCACCGCCGACACUGACAAUUCAAGCAAACAAGUCUGGGCCAUCAUGCUCUCAAACGACAUGGAAUGUUUUCUCGGGGAAGGCAGCUGGGCAACACGUGUUGGGGCUCACGUUCGGCUUGGAGUGGCAUGGCGCAUGAAGUGGCAUCGCACGUACAAGCAACGCUGCUUAGGAGUCGGAACAACGUGGAGGACACAGA